GGGGAGGGGGAUGGAGUGAUGAGACAUAAGAAGAGUGAAGAGAAGAGAGACCUGCUUGGUAUUCACCUGUCUCUCUGGAUCAAUAAAGAGCUCCGUCCAUAUAAACUGAUGGUGAACAGAAAGUCUGCAGUCAGCUCCUUCACCACAGGAGGAGAGAGACAACAAUGAUUUCCAUGGAGACGGUGGAAGAGAGAGAGGGAGAGAAGUGUGCUGGACCGACUGGUUUGACCGUGACAAUCCCAGUGGCUCAGAGGACUGGGAGCUUUUGAAGGACCUGAUGAAAGAAAACCCAGGAAAGAUCUGUGCAUACCCUCUGUACAUUGAGGUCGUUACCACUGACACGAUGACCCCAGCCAUCUCCACAGGGGAGAACUUCUAUAUCUUCAAUCCGACUCAGGGAUUUGUUUGCCGCAACAAGGACCAGAGAAAGCGCAUGUGCCGUGACUACAAAGUUCGCUUUGGGUGCCCGUGCAAGAAGCCCGUGGAACCGUGUGGCAUAGUGGGCCCUUGUUUUUAGGACCCAAUAGCGAUAGCCUUAGAGGGCUGCGCCUAUACUCAUAGAAGCUGGAUUACAGUACGUAACCCCAG